rnacentral:rRNA from 1 species
UACGUAGGGUGCAAGCGUUAAUCGGAAUUACUGGGCGUAAAGCGUGCGCAGGCGGUUCGGAAAGAAAGAUGUGAAAUCCCAGAGCUAAACUUUGGAACUGCAUUUUUAACUACCGAGCUAGAGUGUGUCAGAGGGAGGUGGAAUUCCGCGUGUAGCAGUGAAAUGCGUAGAUAUGCGGAGGAACACCGAUGGCGAAGGCAGCCUCCUGGGAUAACACUGACGCUCAUGCACGAAAGCGUGGGGAGCAAACAGG